GCCGACUUAACUACCGCAUUAUUCUGGUGAGCGAAGGAAAGCGAGGGGGACCCGCAAGGCCUUGCGCUCUUUGAGCGGCCGAUGUCAGAUUAGCUAGUUGGUGAGGUAACGGCUUACCAAGGCGACGAUCUGUAGCGGGUCUGAGAGGAUGAUCCGCCACACUGGAACUGAGACACGGUCCAGACUCCUACGGGAGGCAGCAGUGGGGAAUUUUGGACAAUGGGCGCAAGCCUGAUCCAGCCAUGCCGCGUGAGUGAAGAAGGCCUUCGGGUUGUAAAGCUCUUUCGGCCGGGAAGAAAUCGCAUGGGUUAAUACCCUGUGUGGAUGACGGUACCGGAAUAAGAAGCACCGGCUAACUACGUG
rnacentral:rRNA from 1 species